AGGGUUGUGGCUCAGCAGUAGAGUGCUUACCUGGCAUGUAUGAGGCACUGGGUUCGAUUCUCAGCAUCACAU
rnacentral:tRNA from 1 species